UACAUGGGGUGCAAACGUUGCUCGGAAUUAUUGGGCGUAAAGCGCGCGUAGGCGGUUACUCAAGUCGGAUGUGAAAGCCCUCGGCUUAACUGAGGAAGUGCACCCGAAACUGAGUAGCUAGAGUACUAAAGAGGGUCGCGGAAUUCCCGGUGUAGAGGUGAAAUUCGUAGAUAUCGGAAGGAACACCAGUGGCGAAAGCGGCUCCCUGGUCCAGCACCGACGUUCAGGCACGAAAGCGUGGGGAGCAAACAGG
rnacentral:rRNA from 1 species